GGGGGGCCUCAUCGCCAGCCCACCUCAGGCAUCUGUCAAACUGCAACAAAUGGAUUAUCAAAGCUAUCAGGAAGACCCCACGUGUUUACAUGUGGAAGAUUUUCAUCUAAGAGAGUUUCCCUCUAAGUGUCUGUUUGCACUUUGGUACUGCCCGCUACCCAAAAGUAAAAUAUUUAUUUUUGCCUAUAAAUCCAUAUUCUAUUUUUCUCACUAAUAAUGGCUUACAGCGCGACACAACUCCCAAUGACAUACAGUCAUCACACACGAUCAGAUUUUCAGCUCCAAUAGUACACGGCUCAUCUCUUGAAGAGAUGUUUGGACAUGGGAAGAGUAUUUCAGUUGGUAGACAUCAGACGUCCUCGACAUUUUGUCCCCAGAACAACGAUUUACUUGUGAGAUUGUUCAAGGCGAGGCUCCUCUGGGGAAACGUGCAGCGGGAGGGUCAUGUCUAAAGUCAGGUUCGGUAACAAUUUAGAUGUAACACGCUACACUGGGAUGCUGGGGGUGAAUAUUCUCCAAUUACUAGAAAGGUCUAUCUAGAUUUUUAAAGCCUCAAUCUCGGACUGAAGAAGCUCUGAAGUCCUGAUUUCGGGUGCUUCGGAAGAGCUCUUAAAACGAGUCCUUCAACGAGCUACCCGGGGGAUGGUGUGUCUUUAACCAUGGUGCGGUUUGAUGGUUGUGUCUGAUUACAGCUUUAAAAAUCCAUUUUGGAUUACAAAGUGAUAUUUUCAUAGGUCAUAAUUCAUCAUUUUCAGCAUCAGAUUCAAACAAAUGACAGUCUAGAUUUUUAAAGGAUGUUCUGCUUUUGGCAACCUUUACAUCAGCAAGUCCAACCUCUUUUUGAUGACUUUCUAUGAUAGCAGUCAGUAAGAUUGAUUUAACUAUUUACUUAAACCCUAAAACACUUUGUUUAUUUACUGCUUAUACUGUAUAUAUUUGAAAAGAAUGUAUUGGACUAAGAAACUAGUUUUAUACACACAGAUUGUAACUGAUUUUUUUUUUUUAUAUGUGUUCGUUUAGACAUUAAAAGGCCAAGUCUGGUCUUAAUGUCUCAAACCACCUGGGUUAAUGCAAGAGCAGUCCACUGACGGGCUUUUGGCUCGUAGCACUUUUUCAAACCAACAACGUUCUGCAGAGGUUUCGGCUUGGCGAUUAAAAUAUCUUGGAAAAACUGCAGAAGGAUUUGGGUGCUUGUGACUGCUACCUGGAUAUUUGGGAACACUAUUGCCCCGUUGAUUCUGCAUUCCUAUUCAUUCUGGUCGUUGGUUUUAUUUGGUUUCCCUGACCACCAGUCACUAAAUGUCCGCUCUAAUGACCAAAUGAGCUCAUUUGUUGCUUCUUACUAUGAAUGUGAUCUCAUCCAAAAACUAAAAAUACUGCCAGCAGAUAGAAUUUCCCCUGAAAAUAUAGAAACCUCCGAUGCAUUAUUGUGUAGAAUAUCAUACAACCGAAAACAAAAACACUACAUUUGACAUUAUUUCAACGUGGAUUCUUCAUACAUCUGAAAGUUGCUUGCAGAGUCAGUCCUGUCGGUAUUUCAAGAUUUUACACUCUGCUUUUUGUAUGACAAUCUCUUGAGUCCAGUAGACUUCGAGAGGCUCUUUGGUAAAGGAAAUCUUGUCGCGAUAUGCGUAAGUGCACUCCUAUCUCACACGGUCAUUUUGAAUAGAAAAGGUAAGCGGACGUUAACAUAUUUAUUGGCUCAAGUUGUAAAGCUUUAUUCUGCGUUCUUCGAAAACAGUAUUGUUGGAUUGCAGCGCUGCGAUAAUGGUUAGAUAACAGAUAAAAUAAAGAAGUUUGGAGUGUACUGGUGAAACCCGACGUCCUUUUUGGUUAAUGACAAUCAGACAGCUUGUCACAGUAAACUGAACAGAAACUGCCAGAGUCUGACUUUAUCAUUUAAUGUGUUCAUUAUUACAUAUUUGUUUUCAGCUCAGCAGGAAAAACAGUUUCUGGUGACUCAGUGUUAACUGAAAGUCUCCCCCUGGAACAUGUGCUACACUUUAUAUUAAGCAGUCUCUUAUGCUCAAUAUGACAGUUGAGUCUCAGCUCACAGUGAAGUUAGCUGUGUCAUAGUCCUUCAAGACUGGUGCUGUUCAUAGCGGACGACAGGACUCAGCUGACAGAUCCCUCUUAACAUGGACAUUCAGUGCCGAUUUACACUUUCCUAUGUGCAAUGUCAGUUUAAAAACAAAAGAAAGGAGAAUGUUAAUUUAUACUGUUUUAAAUGUUUCACAACAGAUGUACAAUGUAUAAAGAGGUGUAUAAUACGCCAUUGUACCGUGUAAAUUAUAUGGAAGUAUUUUUUUAAAGAAAAUGUCUAAACAUUCCUCCAACCGUUGAUAUCAGCAGUAUCUUUUGUUGUUUAAAGUUUUAGGUUU